rnacentral:rRNA from 1 species
ACGGGGUGCAGCCCGCGCGAAACCUCCGCAAUGCGGGAAACCGCGACGGGGUCAGCCGGAGUGCUCGCGCAUCGCGCGGGCUGUCGGGGUGCCUAAAAAGCACCCCACAGCAAGGGCCGGGCAAGGCCGGUGGCAGCCGCCGCGGUAAUACCGGCGGCCCGAGUGGCGGCCACUUUUAUUGGGCCUAAAGCGUCCGUAGCCGGGCUGGUAAGUCCUCCGGGGAAUCUGGCGGCUUAACCGUCAGACUGCCGGAGGAUACUGCCAACCUAGGGACCGGGAGAGGCCGGGGGUAUUCCCGGAGUAGGGGUGAAAUCCUGUAAUCCCGGGAGGACCACCUGUGGCGAAGGCGCCCCGCUGGAACGGGUCCGACGGUGAGGGACGAAGGCCAGGGGAGCAAACCGGAUUAGAUACCCGGGUAGUCCUGGCUGUAAAGGAUGCGGGCUAGGUGUCGGGUGAGCUUCGGGCUCGCCCGGUGCCGUAGGGAAGCCGUUAAGCCCGCCGCCUGGGGAGUACGGCCGCAAGGCUGAAACUUAAAGGAAUUGGCGGGGGAG